rnacentral:rRNA from 1 species
AGCGGUGAAAUGCGCAGAUAUCGGGAGGAACACCGGUGGCGAAGGCGGUUCUCUGGGCCUUGCCUGACGCUGAGGAGCGAAAGCGUGGGGAGCGAACAGGAUUAGAUACCCUGGUAGUCCAUGCUGUAAACGUUGGGCGCUAGGUGUGGGGUCUUUCCACGGAUUCCGUGCCGUAGCUAACGCAUUAAGCGCCCCGCCUGGGGAGUACGGCCGCAAGGCUAAAACUCAAAGGAAUUGACGGGGGCCCGCACAAGCGGCGGAGCAUGUUGCUUAAUUCGACGCAACGCGAAGAACCUUACCAAGGUUUGACAUCACCCGAAAACCGGCGGAGACGUCGGGUCCUUUUGGGGCGGGUGACAGGUGGUGCAUGACUGUCGUCAGCUCGUGUCGUGAGAUGUUGGGUUAAGUCCCGCAACGAGCGCAACCCUUGUUCCAUGUUGCCAGCGGCGCCUUUUUGGUGGCUGGGGACUCAUGGGAGACUGCCGGGGUCAACUCGGAGGAAGGUGGGGAUGACGUCAAGUCAUCAUGCCCCUUAUGUCUUGGGCUGCAAACAUGCUACAAUGGCUGGUACAGAGGGCUGCGAUGCCGUGAGGUGGAGCGAAUCCCUAAAAGCCGGUCUCAGUUCGGAUUGGGGUCUGCAACUCGACCCUAUGAAGUCGGAGUCGCUAGUAAUCGCAGAUCAGCAUUGCUGCGGUGAAUACGUUCCCGGGCCUUGUACACACCGCCCGUCACGUCAUGAAAGUCGGUAACACCCGAAGCCCAUGGCCUAA